AGGAACUGAUGAUGUUUUCCAGUUCGAUUUGAGUAUUCCAAUGGUUCCUCAACAGGAUGACGGUGAAAAAUGUGGAUACUAUGUUCUUUACUAUAUGUUCAAGUUUUUGAUGUCUUGUCCAGAAAACUUCAACAUUAAUGAACAUGGUGGCUUUAUGAAUAGCAGUUGGUUCACAGAGGAAGAGAUGAACAACUUUUUCAACAAUCUAUCAUCAGAGAAAUUGCAUACUGACCAAAUGCAAGCUUCAGAAGACAUAAUUGUGGUCAAGGAAAAGAAUCUUUCAAGUAAUAUGGAAGUUGAUGGCCAAAAUGUCGAUAAUGAAAUUGCUGCUGAAGAAAUUGAAAAACUUU